GAUCAUGGCUCAGGAUGAACGCUGGCGGCGUGCUUAACACAUGCAAGUCGAACGGGAAUUACUUUAUUGAAACUUCGGUCGAUUUAAUUUAAUUCUAGUGGCGGACGGGUGAGUAACGCGUGGGUAACCUGCCUUAUACAGGGGGAUAACAGUCAGAAAUGGCUGCUAAUACCGCAUAAGCGCACAGAGCUGCAUGGCUCAGUGUGAAAACUACCGGUGGUAUAAGAUGGACCCGGCCGUUGGUA
rnacentral:rRNA from 1 species